CAAACCGUUUAGGUUCCAGAACCGUUUUAGUACCCCAAGGUACCGAGCGAAAUUUUGAAAAGUUCAUUGCACGAAAAGGCCGACUUGUCGGGGGUUGAUCCGGAAAACCGCCCUUUCAGACGUUCUUUGCGUCAAGGGCUUUUGGGCCUGCCUUUGAAGUGUCGUGGAAGGGAGAGGGUCGACAUAUGCAACUCGAGUGCACUCGAAAUUAGCUGGGGCGGUCAUAAACGCUAUAAAAGCGCAUUUCGCACCCGUUUCUUCACAGUCUUA